rnacentral:rRNA from 1 species
GACGAACGCUGGUGGCGUGCUUAACACAUGCAAGUCGAGCGGGAUUUAGUAAACAGAAGCCUCGGUGGAAGAUUACUAAUGAGAGUGGCGAACGGGUGAGUAACGCGUGAGCAACCUGCCUAUGACAGUGGGAUAGCCUCGGGAAACCGGGAUUAAUACCGCAUAAAAUCGUAGAAACACAUGUUUUAACGGUCAAAGAUUUAUCGGUCAUAGAUGGGCUCGCGUCUGAUUAGCUAGUUGGUGAGAUAACAGCCCACCAAGGCGACGAUCAGUAGCCGGUCUGAGAGGAUGAACGGCCACAUUGGAACUGAGACACGGUCCAAACUCCUACGGGAGGCAGCAGUGGGGAAUAUUGCACAAUGGGGGAAACCCUGAUGCAGCGACGCCGCGUGAACGAAGAAGGUAUUCGUAUCGUAAAGUUCUGUCCUAUGGGAAGAUAAUGACAGUACCAUAGAAGAAAGCUCCGGCUAAAUACGUG